ensembl:misc_RNA Metazoa_SRP Metazoan signal recognition particle RNA
GCUGAGCACAGUGGCACAUGCCUGUAGUCCCAGCUAUUCGGGAGGCUGAGGCUGGGGGAUCGCUUGAGCCCAGAAGUUCUGGGCUGUAGUGCGCCAUGCCGAUCAGGUAUCUGCACUAAGUUCAGCAUCAAUACCGUGACCUCCCGGGAGCAGGGGACCACCAGGUUGCCUAAGGAGGGGUGAACCGGCCAAGGUUGGAAAUGGAGCAGGUCAAAACUCCUGUGCUGAUCAGCAGUGGGAUUGCUCCUGUGAAUACCCACUGCAUACCAGCCUGGGCAACAUAGCAAGACCCGGACUCUA